UCGGUUUGGGAAAAUCCUGUGAAAUUCUAAAAAGCUUCUCUCCGUGUUUUCUAGUUGUUUUUUCAGCCUUGGUCUAAGUUUCAUGUAGAAAAGGGCACAGAAUUAGAACAGGUAAACUAGACUUUCUCGGGAGAGAUGGAAGAAAAGUCUGCUGAUUCCGGUUCUGCUUUUCUUGUCUUCUAUUAGACUGUCAUUUUCUCUCCCCUGCUGUUCAAAUAGGCAGCAAUUAAUUGCUCUGCUGAAGAGUUUGCUGUACUAAGUGUCUGUCAAAUCGAUGCCUUCAACUCAAGAUAGCACCUGCUCCUUAGUUACAAAACGUUCCUCACAGGAGAUUUUCAGGCGUGCCCAUAAAUCUCCUCGCUGUUUGUUUGGGAGAACAGGGUUUUCUCGUCUGUAACAGAAUAGUCAUGGCAUUUGCUAUGGAAUGCUGGUGGCAAUCUAGUCAGAAGAGGACCCCGUGCUUCACUAAUUUUCCCUUUUUGUUGUUCGGGGUGACUUCUUCCCAGGGAUGUUAUUCUUGACCCCCCGGGGCAAACGGAGGUGUCAGCGUCAGGAGCCAUCCUAACUGAGGCCCUGGCUCCCUCUUUCCCUUCGGUCGCCGUGGGUGUGCCGGACGCCUCUGGCAGGACUAACCCCGUGGCUUUUAUGUCCAACGUGCUGUGCUGCGUGUGCCUGCAGGGGAAGACUUUCUGGCAAGCGGUACCAGAAAGAACUGGAGUUUCUGGAGAAUAAAAGCUGGAGGUGUGCCCCCGAUAAUCCUCGCCCCGGGUGGUGAGUGGUCUGACUUGCAGGGACCGGUGGCCUUGGCCAGGAGCGGUCCUGCCGGACUGUAAUUUUAAUUUCCUGCCUAGGCUGUAAUUUUAAUUUCCUUUGGAUGCUUGGCAAAGCCCUUCUGGGGGAGCCCUAGUGCCUGGCAUGAGCAGAGCGGGCUUCCAGGGAGGUAUUCACCUGGUCAGCGUCAGGAACCAUCCUCCCUGAAGCCUCGGCUCCCUCUUUCCCUUCGGUUGCCGUGGAUGUGCCGGACACCUCUGGCAGGACUAACCCUGUGGCUUUUAUGUCCAACGUGCUGUGUGCCUGCAGAAUUGCCACGAGAGGAAAUACUUCAGAGGGGCUUCCCUCCAGAUAAGCCCUGAAUGUGCCAGGAGGUUUCAGCCGGGAGAAAGGAGCUGUGGAAGAAAAGCAGCCUAAAAAUAGCCAGCGGGGAUCAUCAGGUUUUCCAGCCAAGAAAAACCAGGAGGGAGAUGAGGGAAUCGGGUUCCAAUUCCUAAAGAUUUGGUGGGUGUAGGAAUGAUUUCUGUGUGUUUUCCAGUCCCUUUUGAUUCCUGGGAUGAUUUUAAAAUGAUGGCUAAAUUGGAGAUGUUGUUUUUGAGAGGAAAUGAUGCCAAAUAAAUGCAAAGUUUGGGGUCAGUUUU